AGGUAAGCUACUAAGAGCGAAUGGUGGAUGCCUUGGUUGGUAGAGGCGAUGAAAGACGUGCUAGACUGCGAUAAGUCUCGGGGAGUUGUCAAGGAGCUUUGAUCCGGGAAUUUCUGAAUGGGGCAACCCAGUAUAUAGUGAUAUAUACUACCUAUAUGGAGCAAACGUGGGGAAUUGAAACAUCUUAGUACCCACAGGAAAAGAAAUCAAAUGAGAUUACGAAAGUAGCGGCGAGCGAAAUCGUAAAAGGGCAAACCACUAGUUUACUAGUGGGGUUGUAGGACUGUAACAUAGACUAAAAAGAGUUAAUAGAAUAAUCUGGAAAGUUUAAGCAUAGAGGGUGAUACUCCCGUAUAUGAAAACUCUUUUUUACUUAACAGUAUCCUGAGUAGGGCGAGGCACGUGAAACCUUGUCUGAAUCUGGGAAGACCACUUUCCAACCCUAAAUACUACUACCAAACCGAUAGUGAACAAGUACCGUGAGGGAAAGGUGAAAAGAACGGGGGUGACCCGAGUGAAAUAGAACCUGAAACCAUUUGCUUACAAUCAUUCAGAGCACGAUUCUUUAUGACGUGUGAUGGACUGCCUUUUGCAUAAUGAGCCUGCGAGUUGUGAUAUCUGGCAAGGUUAAGGAAAUCCGGAGCCGUAGCGAAAGCAAGUCUUAAUAGGGCGUUUAGUCAGAUAUUGCAGACCCGAAACGAAGUGAUCUAUCCAUGAGCAGGUUGAAACCGGUGUAAGAGCCGGCGGAGGACCGAACCCGCUGACGUUGAAAAGUCUUGGGAUGACUUGUGGAUAGGGGUGAAAGGCCAAUCAAACUUCGUGAUAGCUGGUUCUCUCCGAAAUAUAUUUAGGUAUAGCGUUAUGUAGUAAUUAGAGGGGGUAGAGCACUGAAUGGGCUAGGGCAUACACCAAUGUACCAAACCCUAUCAAACUCCGAAUACCUUUAAUGUAAUCAUAGCAGUCAGGCGGCGAGUGAUAAAAUCCGUCGUCAA
rnacentral:rRNA from 1 species